rnacentral:rRNA from 1 species
CCUACGGGCGGCAGCAGUGAGGAAUAUUGGUCAAUGGACGAGAGUCUGAACCAGCCAAGUAGCGUGAAGGAUGACUGCCCUAUGGGUUGUAAACUUCUUUUGUCGGGGAACAAAGGCGUCCACGUGUGGACUGAUGAGUGUACCCGAAGAAAAAGCAUCGGCUAACUCCGUGCCAGCAGCCGCGGUAAUACGGAGGAUGCGAGCGUUAUCCGGAUUUAUUGGGUUUAAAGGGUGCGUAGGCGGACAGUCAAGUCAGCGGUAAAAAUGCGGUGCUCAACGCCGUACAGCCGUUGAAACUGGCAGUCUUGAGUGGGCGAGAAGUAUGCGGAAUGCGUGGUGUAGCGGUGAAAUGCAUAGAUAUCACGCAGAACUCCGAUUGCGAAGGCAGCAUACCGGCGCCCUACUGACGCUGAGGCACCAAAGCGUGGGUAUCGAACAGGAUUAGAUACCCCGGGUAGUC